GACAGAGGGUGCAAACGUUGUUCGGAAUUACUGGGCGUAAAGCGCGUGUAGGCAGUCUUGCAAGUCGGGUGUGAAAGCCCUGGGCUCAACCUAGGAAGUGCACUCGAAACUGCAGGACUGGAGUCCUGGAGAGGAAGGCGGAAUUCUCGGUGUAGAGGUGAAAUUCGUAGAUAUCGAGAGGAACACCGGUGGCGAAGGCGGCCUUCUGGACAGUGACUGACGCUGAGACGCGAAAGCGUGGGGAGCAAACAGG
rnacentral:rRNA from 1 species